rnacentral:rRNA from 1 species
UACAGAGGGUGCAAGCGUUAAUCGGAAUUACUGGGCGUAAAGCGCGCGUAGGUGGUUCGUUAAGUUCGAUGUGAAAGCCCCGGGCUCAACCUGGGAACUGCAUUGGAAACUGGCGAGCUUGAGUGUGGCAGAGGGGGGUAGAAUUCCACGUGUAGCAGUGAAAUGCGUAGAGAUGUGGAGGAACACCGAUGGCGAAGGCAGCCCCCUGGGUCAAGAUUGACGCUCAUGCACGAAAGCGUGGGGAGCAAACAGG